rnacentral:tRNA from 1 species
AAAUUUAGGUUAAAUAGACCAAGAGCCUUCAAAGCCCUAAGAAAGUAGACACGUACUUAAUUUCUG